UCCCGAACCUGAUCGCCCUCGCAAACCCUAAUCUAAUCCCGAUCAAGCCGAAGCGACCCGCACAGGAGCCGCCGGUUUCAUCGGCGUCGCCAACAUCAUCCACGCUCUAGGGGAGCCCCAGCCUCGUCAUCCUCGGCAAGCAGCCAAGGCGUUGGUGCAGAGGACGCGGGCAGUCUCCAUCGAUCCAGCCAUCAAGCCGAUGUGACGCGCGCGAAUGGAUCCUGCGCGGGAGAGGAUGAAGGCGAGGUGAGGGGAUCCGAUCGAGGGAGAGAGACUGAGCAGAGUGAGAGAGACACCUGAACUACAAGUACAUCAGGGCAACAAUCAUCUGCGUUUCUCCGCCUAAUUCCUGCGUGCCAGCACACAGCUGGGCAGCUCACACGACUCCAGCCCCCAAACCCAACGGUCCCGCACCAACCCUCCUCCCCCUCCUCGCCCCAUCCGCCGCCCUCCUCGCCUCCAUCGGAAGAGCUGCUCCCCACGCAACCGGGCGGAUCCCGCUAGGCGUAGGCGGGGAUCCAGCAGCCGCCAUGGCGGCGAGCGACGUGCCCAUGAGCCCCGAGCUCGAGCAGAUCGACGGCGAGAUCCAGGACAUCUUCCGCGCCCUACAAAAUGGGUUCCAGAAGAUUGACAAGAUCAAGGACUCCAACAGGCAGCGAGCUUGGUGGACCUCGUGCGGUGGCGGCUUUCCCCGAAACUCGACCUCGUGCGGUCGCGCCAACAGCGGCCAUGCCUUUCCUUGCAGGUGUGAGGAGCAGCAGCCAUGUGACACUGCUUCUCCCCCCGGCCAUGACUUUUUUGAUCUCAUGUUAUCACGGUAUCACCUCCACACAAGGCCUGAUAUAGAAGAACUAGAGUCGAAGCAAUAUAACUAUACCAAAAAGAUCUCAAUUUUUCAAAACAUGGUUCAAGAGCUGGCAAUAAGCUAUACUGAUUUGCACUAUUUCAGGACUGCACACUACUUCCAUGUUUGUUCUGAUUACAGUGUUGGUUAUUUUAUUGAUUCUGAAGGAUUGAAUAUUACACUGGGAAGAUAAUUAUCCCAGCCAACCUAGCAUAUUAUGUUGUUGCAUGGUCAUCAUCUAGGGUGUUCCAAGUUUACAUUACCAAAUCAUUACCAUCAGGACAUACUUAAUUAUUGGGAUUCAUCUCACAUGAAGAGGGCUACACAAUUGGCCAUGUAUGUUCACUUUGGUAUCAUAUUGUUUCUUUGAUCUUCAUGGCACUGCAAUUGUGAGGGGAGGAGAACAAGACUAAAAGUGCAUUGCGUCAUGAAGGCGGUAGCACGCAACGCCAAGCCGAGUGCAUUGGCUUUGACAGCAAGAGACCAUGUACCAUCAGAAACCUACAUCUGUCAGGAUUGAGUGGAAUGGCCGCCAGGUUUCUGCUUGCUAAGAUUUGAUUGAUUUUGGGGUGAUGCACAUGAAUGACAACGGAUGGACAAUGAUUGAGGGAAUGUAGAACCGGCUUCGUCGGCUUGUGUCGAGGUUCUUGCAAGCAUUUCCCUUGAGAUGUUUCAGCAAUAGUGGUACCUAUCAAGGUACUGUUGUAACCUCUGUAUUAGAGAGAAUUAUUCUUCGACGCCAAGGAAUUUUGAAGCCCACGGCCGACCUACAUGUAACUGCUUUUGAGCUACAGGGAUGCAAGUUGGUGAGGGCAUCUGCCCACCAUACCAACAUUAUUCUUACUGUCUUCAUAUGUUUCCGAACAUUAUAUAUAUUAUUUGAAGAGUUUAUACCAUGAGUGCAUCUGCAGCAACUUGGUAUCUGGUUUUUAUUUCAUUUCCUUACAAUUCACGAUAAAAGGAUGCAAAGAAACAAAUGAUUUCACGGACCAGAUAUCGUAGGAAAAUCAACAAAGAAGUCCGCACCUAAAUAUGCACGGAAGAGAAUCACUUUAGCUGGUGGGAAACACAUUAUCCGUGGUACGAAACUACUACCUGUAUCACCCCUUAUUUAUAUCAUAGACUGACAUGGAUUACCUGUUACGGGUAUCCAUGGUCACUGAUGAGGUAAGUGGCCAAGGUGAGAUCAGGAAGAGGUGGUGCCAUAAAUGAACUUAAUUGACAAGAUCACAGGUAAAAAUAAUAUGGUUUGAAGUGUUUUCCAAGUUCUGCGCCUUUCCUUGUUAAAUGUCUAAAAAGAAAUAAGAAAAUCAUACUGAAUGUGGAGCUUCAUUGCAUCACAUUUAUAGCAAUGAUACUAUUAAAUUUCAUUUGCGUUCAUGGGUUCUCACUCGUAAAAAAUUAAUAGUAUAACCUCCAACCACUACAUAAAGACUGAUAUGUCCCUUCGGUUGGUUGUUUUAUUUUUCUCUGUUGUAGAAUAGAAAUGGUAUAUGUGCAUCUAUUUUCCCCGCGUCGUAUUUUCACUGCCAAUCACUAAGUAAGGUCUUAACUUCUUCAAAAGGUUCUUUCCCCAAAUGUUUUUGUGUGUGUGCAACUACAGCUGGUUUUCCUAUUCCUUUAUUGUACACUUUUAUUCUGCAGAAGCGCAUGGAAGACAUGAAGCAAAAGGUUAAUUAUGAGGACGGCGACAGACUAUAUAUCUUAAUUACCAGAAGUUGGGGAAUCAAAGCAAUCUACAUGAUGCAUCUCUUCUAUUUAGUUUUGCUUACCAUAAACUGGUUUCAUGCCUUUUAACCUAUGAAUCUAUCAUCAAUGCAAUAUAUAGGGCUUCUUAUGAAGUAUUUCCUUAUGUUUAAAGAAUAUCGGUGUCUAAGAAUGGAACCAUAUCCUAGGCCUACAUGCUAAUAUUGUACACGAAUGAAUGCUUCACUUAUUUAUACCUAAUCAGCUUUGUAAUAAUAAGCGCGAUAUUAGCUUUUGUA